GGAAGAGAGGAAGCAGGAAAAGAGUCUUCUUCCUGGAGUCCUAAAUAUGACUACAUCAGGAAAGCUGAUAGUGUCCAAGUCUACUUACAGAAUUUUUCAAAGAGACCCUGAAGAGAUUGCUCCUUUGGUAAAGCGUUUGCUGUGGUAAAAUGGAAACCUGAUCACCAGCACCUACAAAAGAAGCCGGGCAUAGUGGCACAGGCCUCUCAUCCCAGCGUUCAGAUGAUGGAGACUAAUGGAUCCCUGAGGCUUGCUGGUCUACCAGCCUCAAGUAGACUCAUUGAGCACCAGAAGCUGCAGAGAAUGGAAGCAUCAUGGAGAAAAUGGCAGGGAGACCCAAGACUCCAAGACAAGAAGGAUGAAGUAAAAGAAGCAAUCAGGAAAGAAGCAUUGCUGUCCAUGGGCAGAACUAUCCCAGGAAGUUAAUCGCGAUAAACACAAGCGCCAAGCAGCGUCCCCUCUGUGUCUCUCCCUGCCUGGAGAUCCGUACUGAAAUCACUGCGGGCAUCUGACUGCUUCACGUAGCCGGGGGAAGUUUUACUGUGGGUCUUCUCAGAGCCAAAACCAGAAAGAAGCACUUCUGAAAAAAC
ensembl:lncRNA